rnacentral:misc_RNA from 1 species
CCCUUGGUUCAUCGACGAAGCUUAUAUAGCUCCCCACCCCCUUUUCGCCUUUUCUGACGGCAAAUUAUUCUCAUCAGUCUCUUGCAACAUGCCCAAGCACCACCAAAUUGAUUGCAACAUGCCCACCAAAUCCACGAAGCCGAAAUCCCCAACCUGAAGUGAAGUGAUUCCUUAGGGCCGAAAUCCCUCUCAUUCCCAAAUCGACAAAGCCGCUUCCACAACCAUCGCGUCCUCUACUACCUCCGCCUCAUUUGCCACCAACGGAAUAUCUCAUGCGAAGCGGCUAGGAGUUGGUUUUUAGUGUAUGGGUCUUGGGUUAAGGGUGUUUUGUUGGUCUAAAGAUUUGGGUAAGGUAUUAACGUCAGUGCGAAGGGAAGCUAGGAAAGAAAAAUGAAAUUGCAGGUGUGAGUGUGUGUAGCAGCCUGAUUGUGAGUAGAUGGUGAACAGUGAUGAACAGAAAUGCUGUGACGAAUGAUGAGGGUUUGCAGUGGGAAGACUCGCAGAAGUGAGGGGACAGAGAAUUGAGAGAAUUGAGAGGGAAAGGCAGUGAGGAAGAAGAAUAAGAGGGUAGUCCGGUGAUUUCACCUUUCCACUAACGGCAUUUUUUUCGGAGCGUCUGAACUUUGGAGGGUUGCAGAAUUCGGGGACUAAACCAUUAAUUUUAAAAAAUAUAGGGAUAAAAAUUUUAAUUUUAACAUAAAUUAAAGAUUAAAAAAUAAU